CUUGCACUUCUUCGCCGAGCUUGGUAACGUAAGCUUGUAACCCAAGUGGGGGCUUUGAAGUGGUGGAACAUUGGUUUAAUCUCUACAGUCGGGCUCAUGUUGGCUUUUCACUGGCUAGCCCGUUCCAAGCCGAGAAUUGAGCCAUGGGUCUCUGCCGAAGGUUGGAGGUUUAUGGUUAUUAGAGUGGAGGAUAUCGCGUGAGGCUGGCUUCACAGAGCAGCGUCUACCUCCCGCUCCUGGCAGUGGAAGGAUAACUGGCUGGUGCCACCUGGGCUCGCCAUGGCUCAAGGGAUUGAUCCAAUUGGACCACCAUCUUUUUAAAAUUUAUAACAUUUUUUCAUAUUUAUUUGGGUUUUAGUAUUUGUUGCUUCAAUAGGGGUCCCACAUGGCCUUUUGGCAGCAUACAUGUCAUGCUAAUGGGUGGAGUGGCAAUUUCUCGGCUUGGGUUAUGGAUGUUUGAUUUAUCUGUCAUUCAACAAUUGCAGAUCUUGUCCCUGAGUCUGAACGUUGUGUAGUCGGAGGAGUCCAGAACUCCCCUCACUCUACUCUGGAUUUUAUGGCUUAUAUUAUGGGAAUUGUUAUCUCCAAUCCACAGGGGUGAAUUCGAACCAGGUCGAGUCAGAAUAGGGGUCGGCUUGAAUUUAGAAAGUCUAGUUCAAGCUAGGUAGAGCUGACAAUGAGGUUGUUGGAGAAAGCCUUCAGAAAGCAUUGGAGAAGAAGAGUUGUCAAAUAUAAAGAAAAAGAAGAAAACCGUUAGCGAAAAUGAAUCUGCGAGCUGCUUUUCGGUGAUUCACUAGAUUCGAGUCGGCUAGACUUGAACUCAAGCUGAGGUUACCCAAGCUCAAUCCCAGCUGAAGUUCAUGCUUAUUAUAUUAAUGGGAUAUGACAAAGCUCUACUAUGAUUUACCUUAUUUCGGGAUUUCUGGAAGUUGAAUUUAAUGUCAUUUCUGGCGGUAACGUUGGCUGCAUUCCUCUACAGUUUCCAUAUAUACCGCAUCAGGAAGCACCUCUUUCAUUUUGAAAAGUUUGCAUCAGUUCAGUUGUUUAUCAUAUCUCGCUUAGGUGCAAGUCAGAAUUAAGAUUGUUAAAUCUGUACUUAUCCAUGUCUCUUAGUAGGGAGGUUCAUUUGUGGAUUGACGUUCAAUAAAAUGAAAAUUAUAGAA